CGAAGUAGCAAUACUUAGUGGCAGACGGGUGAGUAACAUGUGGGUAUCUGCCCUUUGGCCUGGAAUAACAUGAGGAAACUUAUGCUAAUACCGGAUAAGUCUUUACGGAGAAAGCUUUAUGCACCAUUGGAUGAGCCUGCACUUGAUUAGUUUGUUGGUGGGGUAAUGGCCUACCAAGACUGUGAUCAAUAGCUGAUUUGAGAGGAUGAUCAGCCACAUUGGGACUGAGACACGGCCCAAACUCCUACGGGAGGCAGCAGUGGGGAAUCUUGCACAAUGGAGGAAACUCUGAUGCAGCGAUGCCGCGUGAGUGAAGAAGGCCUUUGGGUUGUAAAGCUCUUUCGUCGGGGAAGAAAAUGACUGUACCCGAAUAAGAAGGUCCGGC
rnacentral:rRNA from 1 species